rnacentral:misc_RNA from 1 species
UAUUUGUUGAAAAUGCUCAACCAUUGACAAGAAUCAUCUCUAUCCAUCUGCUCCUCCUUUAACUCGCUAUACGGAGACUGUUAUUUCAGUAAUUAAGAAAAGGCUGCUUGAGUGUGCACCAUUGGAUGACGAUGUGAAUUAUAAGUUGAAUGAGCUAACAAUACCAAAACUCUGAAUAUAUUGAAGAGUAUUCAACCUUAUGCAGAGUUUUGGUAUUGUUAGC